CCUGACUGCUAUCGGAUUGGUACUAAGCCAUGUGAGUCAUUGUAGCAAUACAAGGCAGACGGCUCAGUAACACGUAGUCAAUCUAACCUAUGGACGGGGAUAACCUCGGGAAACUGAGGAUAAAACCCGAUAGAUCAUUAUACCUGGAACGGUUUAUGGUCCAAAUGAUUCGUCGCCGUAGGAUGGGACUGCGGCCUAUCAGCUUGUUGGUGAGGUAAUGGCCCACCAAGGCUAUUACAGGUACGGGCUCUGAGAGGAGAAGCCCGGAGAUGGGUACUGAGACACGGACCCAGGCCCUAUGGGGCGCAGCAGGCGAGAAACCUUUGCAAUGUGCGCAAGCACGACAAGGUUAAUCCGAGUGUUUCCUGCUAAAGGAAUCUUUUGUUAGUUCUAAAACCACUGAUGAAUAAGGGGUGGGCAAGUUCUGGUGUCAGCCGCCGCGGUAAAACCAGCACCUCAAGUGGUCAGGAGGAUUAUUGGGCCUAAAGCAUCCGUAGCCUGUUCUAUAAGUUUCCGGUUAAAUCCAUUAGCUCAACUAAUGGGCUGCCGAAAAUACUGUGGAACUAGGGAGUGGGAGAGGUAGACGGUACUCGGUAGGAAGGGGUAAAAUCCUUUGAUCUAUUGAUGACCACCUGUGGCGAAGGCGGUCUACCAGAACACGUUCGACGGUGAGGGAUGAAAGCUGGGGGAGCAAACCGGAUUAGAUACCCGGGUAGUCCCAGCUGUAAACUAUGCAAACUCAGUGAUGCAUUGGCUUGUGGCCAGUGCAGUGCCGCAGGGAAGCCGUUAAGUUUGCCGCCUGGGAAGUACGUACGCAAGUAUGAAACUUAAAGGAAUUGGCGGGGGAGCACCACAAGGGGUGAAGCCUGCGGUUC
rnacentral:rRNA from 1 species